UACGUAGGGUGCAAGCGUUAAUCGGAAUUACUGGGCGUAAAGCGUGCGCAGGCGGUUAUGUAAGACAGGUGUGAAAUCCCCGGGCUUAACCUGGGAACUGCAUUUGUGACUGCAUAGCUAGAGUACGGUAGAGGGGGAUGGAAUUCCGCGUGUAGCAGUGAAAUGCGUAGAUAUGCGGAGGAACACCGAUGGCGAAGGCAAUCCCCCUGGACCUGUACUGACGCUCAUGCACGAAAGCAUGGGGAGCCGAACAGG
rnacentral:rRNA from 1 species